ACUCCGCACCACAUACCUGGACCGGACUCUCGGGACUGUGGAGCAGGAGGGGCGGCUGCCAUGGCGCUCGCAUCGGGCUCGGGCGGCGGCGGCGGGAGCGACUUCUCCGUGAUGGUGAUAGGCUCCGACUUCGCGGUGGACGCCGGCGCGGCGCUCCUCGCCUCCCCCGCCGACCGCGAGGAGUGGCACGACUGCGCCCCCGACCUCGGCGACGACUUCUCCGACCUCGAGGAGCUCCAGGUGGUCCGCGUGCAGGGCGCGGACAGAUCCGGCCGGCCCGUCGUCCGGGUCGUCGGCAAGUUCUUCCCCGGUGCGCCAAACCCCUCCCGUUACUUCCCGUCCUCUCCUCAUCCUGGGAUUUAUCGGGUGGUAUUUGGGGAUUGCUGGUGCGCGUCUAGGGUUUGGCGCGAGUCGUUCGAUGAAUUCUUUGCUGUUAGCUCGUAGCUGCAUUCCUGGAGUUGGUAUGGAGUGAUAAAUGCAUGAUAUACUUAGGAUUUCAGCAUAUUUAUGUCUCGAGCAAAUUAGCAAUUCUAUUGUGACCGGUUGUCAAAAAUUGAAAAUUCUGGAUUUUGGAGAGGCACGGUUCAUGAUUGUUCAUUUCGAUAGUUAUCUGCUUUGUAUGUGGCUUCUUUGCUAGUGGUACCAUCCCCUGUUGAUCUAGUUUCUGGUUUGAUAACAGAUUCAGUACUGCAAAUUAGUACCCCCUUUUGUAAACUAGUAAUAAAAAGUAGUGAUCUAAUAAAAGAUGUUAUAUUACUCCCUUGGUUCCUAAAUAUAAGUCUUUUUAGAGAUUCCAAUGCGGACUACAUACAAAGCAAAAUGAGUGAAUUUACACUCUAAAGUAUGUCUAUAUACAUCCGUAUGUACUUCAUAUUGAACUCUCUAAAAAGACUUGUACUUAUUUAGGAACAGAGGGAGUACUAUUAUUUCUCAAAAUCUGUUGGCAGACUCGAUCAUACCAUUUUAUAAGGGAACUUACAUGCCAAUUUAUAUGUAGUUUCUUUGCUAGUAGUGGAUGGUUCCUUUCCAUGUCAUAUUGGCUUAACAUCCUGUUGGAUAACCUUGCAUUAUUUCUCAAAAUCACCUCACAGACACGAUCACCAUUUGACACAAGGGAGGUUCACAACUUCUACAGGCACUUGAUGUUCUGAUGCUACAAGCUUUGCCGCUAAUAUGAUACUCUCUCCGUUCCAAAAUAAGCGUCGUGGUUUUAGUUCAAAUUUGAACUAAAAUCAUGACCCUUAUUUUUGAACGGAGGGAGUAUUAGUUUCUACCGCUCCCUGUAACACUCAGAUGGCAUUUUAUUUUUGUAUUCCAGCUCCUGUUAUAGAUGGUGGACGUCUGAAGAGGUAUGUGUUUCACAAGCUCCGCACCGAGUUGCCAGAGGGUCCGUUCUGCAUCUUGUACGUACACACCACUGUACAAUCUGAUGAUAACAAUCCUGGAAUGACAAUCUUGAGGGGGAUUUAUGAAGAACUUCCAGCUGAAUACAAGGAAAGGCUGCAAAUAUUCUACUUCCUGCAUCCUGGGCUUUAUUCCUGGCUCGCCAUGGCCACACUAGGCAGGCUCUUCUUAAGCGGAGGGUUGUAUUGGAAAAUCAAGUAUGUUAGUCGGCUGGAGUAUCUAUGGGGGGACAUCAAAAAGGGUGAAGUUGAGAUUCCAGAUUUUGUUACUGAACAUGACAAGAUCCUUGAGCACCGACCAUUGACAGACUAUGGUAUAGAACCUGAUCCUCUGCAUCUCGCUGAUAUACCUGCUGCGGGGUACUCACUUGGUAGGUAUGAAGACAAAUGGUCUCCUGAAGAUCGCUGGAAUUCUCGCAAUUACAUGUGACAUUGUGGUGCUGUUGAAGGCUUGUAAGUUCUCUGUGUACAUAUGUCAUAGCAAAUGGCGAUGCAUACCGGAUUGUUGUGGAAACUUUGUUCAUAAUAAGGUAGUGUCUCAAAUUGUGGGCGUGUAUGACAUAUUUGUAGAGACAAUACCAAAUGGAUGACAGAUUGG
rnacentral:rRNA from 1 species